UAUUUGAAAGGCAGAAACAGAGUACACAGAGGCCUUUGAUUCAUUGGUUCACUCCCGAAAUGCCCAUGGCAGCCUGAGCUGGGCAAGGGCAAAUGCAGUAGCCCAGAUCUUACGCCAGGUCUACCAUGUGGCAUGUUUUCCAACCACUGGAGCGUUUACCAUUGCCUCUUAGAGUGCACAUUAGCAGGAAGCUGUAGUUGGAAGUGGAAGCCAGACUGGAAGCUGGCUACUUCGAGAUCUGAGCACCUUAAGCAGCAUCUCAGCUGAGAUACCAGGUGUCUGCCCAGAAACAGACUGCAUCCAAUUGAAGAAGGACUGUUGGUGGCGAGGGUGUUCAGAGCACAGCGGUCCCUCCUGUGUGGUGGUCUAGACUGCCCAGGUUCAGAGCUUAGUUCUCUUAGACUUCUUGCCAGUGUGAGACUUGUCUGCUCCUCUAAGAAAUAAGAAUAGUGAACCGGGUGUGAUAACCUAGUGGCGAAAUCCUCACCUUGUAUGUGCCGGGAUCACAUAGAGGCACUGGUUCAUGUCUCAACUGUUCCACUUCC